rnacentral:lncRNA from 1 species
UGCACACAUGACCAUGGGAAGGCAUUAGAAAGUUAUGUAACUCGCCAGUAGAGAAUACACAUCAGUUACACCUAAAGGUUAAGUGCAUUCUGGAGGUCAGAAAAAGUGAUGAGUGAAUAAUUGAGGAGUCUACAUCUGGGAACCAAAAACAUGAGAGAGAGAGAUAGAAAGAGACAGAGACACAGACACAGACAGACAGAUGAUGGAUGCUUCCAGAGAUCCUCUCAACUUGGCUGGGAGCUUCUUUGUCCAUGCUGUAAGACGGGCAUCUUGAGGAACACGCAAGGAAAGGAGAAUGAAGGCAUCUCACACGCAAGAUGGUCCAGAUGCCCCCUGGAAGAGGCAUCUUCGUCUUCAACAGAUUGAGGACAGUUGGCUGCCAUUCACUGCUUGCGAAGGGAAAAAGGCUUAAACUUCAGGUAAACCCCACAGUGAUCUCUUUGGUACCCACAUAUUUAUGACAUAAUCGUUCUCUUGCUGGUCUCUGUGUGUUUUUCUCCAGUGACGUGGUGGGAGACGGUUUGGGGGUGCUGUUACCUGUCUGUGGGGAGAAGUAGGCCAGAAUGGGGGGAAGUGUGGCUGGAGGGCCCUGGUCCUUCCCCAGAUGCCAUUUGCCGGUGGUCCCGAGACUUUGGGCAGGACGUUAUCUUCAGUUUUUUCCUCUAUAAAGUGACAGGAAGCCUAAACCCUUUGUCAGGCUGAUGAGCAAUGAAACGAGAUAGGCUUGGGAGCAUUUUGUGCAGUGCCUAGUAUGGAGUGAGUGCUGCGGAUCAAAUUGGCAUAAUUUUGGAGGGUCCUUGUUUCAAGGGUAUUUUUAUUUUGUUUAUGAGGCAACAUCUUCUUGUAGGAACCUCCCCAAAGAAGUGAUUCCCCCUCAAGUUAU